AAUAGAUACCCCGGUAGUCCACGCCCUAAACGAUGUCUACUAGUUGUCGGGGGGUAACUCCUUCGGUAACGCAGCUAACGCGUGAAGUAGACCGCCUGGGGAGUACGGUCGCAAGAUUAAAACUCAAAGGAAUUGACGGGGACCCGCACAAGCGGUGGAUGAUGUGGAUUAAUUCGAUGCAACGCGAAAAACCUUACCUACCCUUGACAUGCCACUAACGAAGCAGAGAUGCAUUAGGUGCCCGAAAGGGAAAGUGGACACAGGUGCUGCACGGCUGUCGUCAGCUCGUGUCGUGAGAUGUUGGGUUAAGUCCCGCAACGAGCGCAACCCUUGCCAAUAGUUGCUACGAAAGGGCACUCUAUUGGGACUGCCGGUGACAAACCGGAGGAAGGUGGGGAUGACGUCAAGUCCUCAUGGCCCUUAUGGGUAGGGCUUCACACGUCAUACAAUGGCUGGUACAGAGGGUUGCCAACCCGGCGAGGGGGGUAGCCAAUCCCCACAAAACCAGUCGUAGUCCGGAUUGCAGUCUGCAACUCGACUGCAUG
rnacentral:rRNA from 1 species